rnacentral:rRNA from 1 species
AACGAACGCUGGCGGCAUGCCUAACACAUGCAAGUCGAACGAGACCUUCGGGUCUAGUGGCGCACGGGUGCGUAACGCGUGGGAACCUGCCCUUAGGUUCGGAAUAACUCCCCGAAAGGGGUGCUAAUACCGGAUAAUGUCUUCGGACCAAAGAUUUAUCGCCUUUGGAUGGGCCCGCGUUGGAUUAGCUAGUUGGUAGGGUAAAAGCCUACCAAGGCGACGAUCCAUAGCUGGUCUGAGAGGAUGAUCAGCCACACUGGGACUGAGACACGGCCCAGACUCCUACGGGAGGCAGAAGUGGGGAAUAUUGGACAAUGGGCGAAAGACUGAUCCAGCAAUGCCGCGUGAGUGAUGAAGGCCUUAGGGUUGUAAAGCUCUUUUACCCGGGAUGAUAAUGACAGUACCGGGAGAAUAAGAUCCGGAUAACUCCGUG